ACAAGUGAUGCGUGAAAAACAUUGCUCAUGUACACAGCCCCAUUGAAAUGAAUGGGUCAGGAUUCAGUGCGGGUGCAAUGCAUUCACCUCAAGCAUUGCAGGCGCGUGGAAUACUCGGCCGUGUGAAAGGGACCAAAGAGGAUCAAGAACACCAGAAUGAC